AAAGUCGCACAUAAUAGGUACCUAGGUACUUAAGUUAUGACCUAAAUUCUCCAACACUUGAGUUGUUAACAGUACAAACACACAAUUACUCGUCCUUAUAACCCUUUAUCUGUGCGCGUAAAACAAAAACAAAACAGAUUCGAAAUGAACAGUGAUCGGACCGGUUGUGAUUGUUUUAUUUUUUCAAUCGAUAUUUCGAUAGUUCUAGAGGUCUUAUAAAGGUGCAUCGCUUCGUAUUUGCAUUAUACACGUCUUGCUAACACAUGGAAAAUAUGAGGUUUUUGAAGCUAGUGUUGUGUUUUGUGGUUUUAAAUGUGGCAUUGGCUCUAGCGGCCUGCCCACCUGGUGAAUACAACCCUGGACCAAACUGUGGCCUGGAACCAUCAUGUUCAACCAGAAGCUCUCACGCAUACCCGAAGCAUACCUGCGAUUGUUGGUGUUUACCUGGCACGUACAGAAAUCUGGAUACCAACGCAUGCGUCGACCUUAAAGGAUGUUAACAUUAAAUUUUAGUAUUAUUAAUUAUUAAA